rnacentral:rRNA from 1 species
CUGGUUGAUCCUGCCAGUAGUCAUAUGCUUGUCUCAAAGAUUAAGCCAUGCAUGUCUCAGUACUUGCCGACCUAAGGCGAAACCGCGAAUGGCUCAUUAAAUCAGUCAUGAUUUAUGGGAUGUUGUUAAAUCCUUACUCGGAUAACUGUGGUAAUUCUAGAGCUAAUACGUGCAAUCCGUCUCCGACCUCGGCCCUCGCGGUCGAGGGAAGGGCGCAUUUGUUAGACCAAAAACCGGGUGGACAGUCGUUGGGCAAUCUCCCUCCGCGGUAGCAUUCGCCCACGUCCAUUCCUCUACGGUUAAGUGGUGACUCUGAAUAACUACAGCCGAGCGCUGAGGUCUUAGUACCGGCGCCGUAUCCUUCAAGUGUCUGCCUUAUCAGCUCUCGAUUGUAGGUUAUUCGCCUACAAUGGCUGUAACGGGUAACGGGGAAUCAGGGUUCGAUUCCGGAGAGGGAGCCUGAGAAACGGCUACCACAUCUAAGGAAGGCAGCAGGCACGCAAAUUACCCAAUCCCGGCUCGGGGAGGUAGUGACGAAAAAUAACGAUGCGGGACUCUUCCGAGGCCUCGCAAUCGGAAUGAGCUCAAUUUAAAAACUUGGGCGAGGAUCCAUUGGAGGGCAAGUCUGGUGCCAGCAGCCGCGGUAAUUCCAGCUCCAAUAGCGUAUAUUAAAGUUGCUGCGGUUAAAAAGCUCGUAGUUGGAUUUCUGAUGCGGACCGGGGGCCCAUCCAAGGCGCGCCCUCGUCUUUAGCGAGCGGCGUUCCGCGGGGUUCUUCCCGUGUCUCGGCGGCGGCCGAAGGGGGUUGUCGGGAGGUUUCGGAGCCUUCGUCGUCGGUCAUAACCUCUUUCUCGGCUUCUUUGCGGGCGUCGUACGUUCCCCUCGCUUAAAGGCGGGCGUCGUCGGCGACUCUCCCGUUCCGUCGAUUGGCGAUAAACCCGGAUCAGCAGGAGGCCGGAUAAAAACGCGUUUCGGCGGCGGGGGCCUUCCUCCCUAAGGGUUUUCUCCGCUGCGGGUCGCCUCUCCCCGCGUCUCCUUUUUUUCUCUCCUCUUUCGCUCGCUUCCGCGCAAUAAAAAAGCCGAUUUCGUCUCGUCAGCAUUCCAAACCGUUGUUGCGCUUACGCCGUCGGGCCGGUCUCGUUUACUACGACGGUCGGUUCCGACGGGUCGGCGUCGCGGGCGGCGAGUUCGGGCGGCCGUAAUGAAAGGCGGGGGCGCUAAAUGGGCGAUUGUCGGAAGGGAAAGAGGCGGGCGCGGGUGACGCGAUUCGCGCACGCGGGUUCUCCCGUUAUAAAAGGGUCUUCGGCUCUCCGUCGUCGUACUCGUUCCGGUCUUCUCCCGGCUCUGUCGCCUUCGCGGUCGGGCCGAGUUUCGUCGUCGUCGUUCCGUUGAGGGGCGGGCGGCGGCGCUUUAGCGGGACUGUCUGUGGAGAACGUUUAUCACGGCCGCCUCGUCGGUUUUCGCCUCUCUUACUCCUCCUCUCGGGUAGAUCCCGUCGUUCGGGGCGAUAAAAAGCGGGGGGGCUAAAGCUUCGCGGCGGCGUUUUCGCUCCUGGAAGGGUAAGCGCGCCCGGUGGUUCACUGCCCGGCUCCGUAGUUAGAAAAGUCGUCGGCUCUCACGGGGUGCUCUUUACCGAGUGUCCCGCGUGGCCGACAAGYUCACUUUGAAAAAAUUAGAGUGCUCAAAGCAGGCUAAAAUAUUUACGCCCGAAUGGUAGCGCAUGGAAUGAUGGAACAGGACCUCGAUCCUGCCUUUUUCAGCCCGGUUUUUCGGAAUCGAGGUAAUGAUUAACGGGGACAGACGGGGGCAUUAGUAUUGCGGCGCGAGAGGUGAAAUUCUUGGACCGUCGCAAGACUAACUACUGCGAAAGCAUUUGCCAAGAAUGUUUUCAUUAAUCAAGAACGAAAGUUAGAGGAUCGAAGGCGAUCAGAUACCGCCCUAGUUCUAACCAUAAACGAUGCCAACUGGCGAUCCGUCGGCGUCAUUCCCACGACUCGACGGGGAGCCCCAGGGAAACCAAAGUCUUUGGGUUCCGGGGGAAGUAUGGUUGCAAAGCUGAAACUUAAAGGAAUUGACGGAAGGGCACCACCAGGAGUGGAGCCUGCGGCUUAAUUUGACUCAACACGGGGAACCUCACCAGGCCCAGACACUGGAAGGAUUGACAGAUUGAGAGCUCUUUCUCGAUUCGGUGGUUGGUGGUGCAUGGCCGUUCUUAGUUGGUGGAGCGAUCUGUCUGGUUGAUUCCGAUAACGAACGAGACUCUAUCCUGCUAACUAGUCGGCGGAUCGACUCCCAAGACGGGUUUCCAUCCGCGGGGUUUUCGGGCGGGGGUUGCCCCGACCCGUCGUCGUUCCCUCGCGGUCUCGUUGUUGCYGCCGCUGCGGGGGCGUGGCGGUGGGCGCGCUCGGCGAUAGAUAGGCCCGUUCGUCGGUCGUCGGGGGGGGGUGCGGCUCGCCCGUUCUUUCUCCGGCGUGUCGGUGGCGGUCUUCGUCGUCGACGCUCCGUCGUUAUUCCUUCGCGCGGCGCGCGCGGGGUUCGCUUGGGGCUGAAGCGGCGGCGGUGUUCGAGGUCCUCGUCUUGCCUCGCGCGUUGGGGCUCUGCGAGGGGCGUCCGUCGCAAUAUCUUCUUAGAGGGAUCGGCGGCGUCCAGCCGCAAGAGAGAGAGCAAUAACAGGUCUGUGAUGCCCUUAGAUGUCCUGGGCAGCACGCGCGCUACAAUGUAGGGAUCAACGUGCUUUCCCCCUCCRAAAGGAGCGGGUAACCCGUUGAAACCCCUACCCGAUUGGGAUUGGGGAUUGUAAGUGUUUCCCAUGAACGAGGAAUUCCCAGUAAGCGCAAGUCAUCAGCUUGCGCUGAUUACGUCCCUGCCCUUUGUACACACCGCCCGUCGCUACUACCGAUUGAAUGAUUCAGUGAGGGCAUCGGACUGGCGCCUUCGGUAGCCGUCGGCUCGUAUCCCAAACUCCGCUUCGGCGGGGGCGGUCGCCGGCACCCUAGGCUGACGGAAAGAUGUCCGAACUUGAUUAUUUAGAGGAAGUAAAAGUCGUAACAAGG